rnacentral:tRNA from 1 species
GAGAGUUUAGCUUAAUUAAAGCUAUUGAUUUGCGUUCAUUGGAUGUUGGAUAAAGUCCUGCAACUCUUA